rnacentral:rRNA from 1 species
UUGGUUCUACCCGACGGCCGUGCGCCAACCUUUCGAGGAGGCAGCGGACCACGGUAGGAUCAGCGACUGGGGUGAAGUCGUAACAAGGUAGCCGUAGGGGAACCUGCGGCUGGAUCACCUCCUUUCUAAGG